UACGAAGGGGGCUAGCGUUGCUCGGAAUCACUGGGCGUAAAGCGCACGUAGGCGGAUUGCUAAGUCAGGAGUGAAAUCCUGGAGCUCAACUCCAGAACUGCCCUUGAUCCUGACGAUCUCGAGUCCGGGAGAGGUGAGUGGAACUCCGAGUGUAGAGGUGAAAUUCGUAGAUAUUCGGAAGAACACCAGUGGCAAAGGCGGCUCACUGGCCCGGUACUGACGCUGAGGUGCGAAAGCGUGGGAAGCAAACAGG
rnacentral:rRNA from 1 species